rnacentral:rRNA from 12 species
GAUCGCGGCGACGUGGGUGGUUCGCCGCCUGCGACGUCGCGAGAAUUCCACUGAACCUUAUCAUUUAGAGGAAGGAGAAGUCGUAACAAGGUUUCCGUAGGUGAACCUGCGGAAGGAUCAUUG